GCCUCCGGAAGGCGCCUCUCUGCUGAUUUAGCAGAAUUAAACCGGGGGACUUUGGGCACUCCUGGACCUCAGCCUGGGACCCGGCCAGCAUUUGGAGAGAGUGGACAGGCACUUCUGGACCUGUCGGCAGAAUCUGUAAGGUAGGGGCCCCGUCUGUUCAGCCCACUCGAAUGAGUGGAAGGGGGAGCUUGAUCACCUCCCCGGAGGCCUUAGAGCUUCCUCAGGAAUUGGGUGGAUUGUUGUUUAAACUCUGAGUGAAUGUCUGGUGAAAGUGUGUGAGUGUGGAGGGAGAGGGCCUGCCCUCUCUUAUCCUUUGUGUGGCUCCACGACUUCGGUUACGGAGGCCGAGUGGGCCCCAACCUGCGGUUCCGCUAUUCGUCAUAGGGCAUAACGGUGACUCACCCCCACGUGGAGGUGACCAGGCCCGGGGUGCAUACGGGUGCACCUUAGCUAAGACGAAUCUAAGCUCCCAAGGGACGCGGCCAGGCCGGCAUCUGAGUGAGGAUCUGUCUUGCGCCACCAAUCAUCAUGGGGUUGGGACAGAGUAAACCCACUGUUCUCAAUUGCAUGUUGAAAAAUUUUUAAAAGGGAUCUGAUGAAGAUUAUGGAAUUAAAAUUAAUUCUGAAACACUGAGGAAAUUCUGUGAAGUAGAAGGGCCAGCCUUCGGGGUUGGCUGGCCCUCAGAAGGCUCUUUAGAUGAAGGAUUGGUCAGGGCGGUGUGGAAUGUAAUCACAGGAGAUUCUGGGAACCCAAAUCAGUUUCCCUACAUAGACAGCUGGUUAGAAAUUGCUCAGACCUUGCCGCCUUGGGUCCGGUUCUGCGAGUGCAAGAAGGGACAGAGUAAGGUUUUAGUAGCAGGAGUGAAGAGGCAGGCAG